UUAUGGCCAUAUCACAUUGAAACACUGGUUCCAAUAUGAUCACCAAAGUUAAUCAACAUUGAGCCUCGUCAGUAUCUAGAUGGGUGGCUGCUUAGGAAUACCAGGUGCUGUAAG